UCAGAUUUGUGUCAGUACUUUAUGCGUUUAUUUUAGAAGUUGAAUGUUUUAACAAUGUUAAUUUAAUUGCUCUAAAAAGCUGUUCAUCUUAUUGGUGGUUCUGGCCUGAUACCGUGUUAAGGGAGUCAUUUUCGUUACAAGCUAAACCACCGGUCAAUUUCUUUUUUAUUUCUCUUCCUCAAUUUCCUUUUUUCUGUUAUGGAUAGGAUUUAUUAGGCCUCAUCUUAUAUUUAUUUGUUUACGAAGGAAAUAGUAAAUAAAAUUUAUUUAAGAAAGGAUUCACUUCCUAAUUAGUAAAUAAAUUUUAUUUUAAAAAAGGAUUCAUGUUGCAAACCAGUGAAAUUGAUAAUAUUGAUGAUUGCGAUUUUCUCAAUAGUACUACUAAAGAGGGAGUAAUAGAGUAGUGCUCUUUAUAUUUCACAUACACUGAAAAUCCACUUGAUUAGUUACAAAUGAACAAAAAGAUGAAAGUGUAUCAGAAACGAACGGAAUUGGGUGGGUCAGAUUUGUGUAAGUACUUUCUGCGUUUAUUUUAGAAGUUGAAUGUUUUAACAAUGUUAAUUUAAUUGCUCUAAAAAGCUGUUCAUCUUAUUGGUGGUUCUGGCCUGAUACUGUGUUAAGGGAGUCAUUUCCGUUACAAGCUAAACCACCGGUCAAUUUCUUAUUUUUUCUUUUCUUCAAUUUCCUUUUUUCUGUUCUGGAGAGGAUUUAUUAGGCCUCAUCUUAUAUUUAUUUGUUUACAAAGGAAAUAGUAAACAAAAUUUAUUUAAGAAAGGAUUCACUUCCUAAUUAGUAAAUAAAUUUUAUUUUAAAAAGGAUUCAUGCUGCAAACCAGUGAAAUUGACAAUAUUGAUGAUUGCGAUUUCUUCAAUAGUACUACUAAAGAGGGAGUAAUAAAGUAGUGCUCUUUAUAUUUCACAUACACUGAAAAUCCACUUGAUUAGUUACAAAUGAACAAAAAGAUGAAAGUGUAUCAGAAACGGACGGAAUUGGGUGGGUCGGAUUUGUGUAAGUACUUUCUGCGUUUAUUUUAGAAGUUGAAUGUUUUAACAAUGUUGAUUUAAUUGCUCUAAAAAGCUGUUCAUCUUAUUGGUAGUUCCGGCUUGAUACUGUGUUGAGGGAGUCAUUUCAUUUACAAGCUAAACCACCGGCCAAUUUCUUUUUUUUCUCUCCUUCAAUUUCUUUUUUCUGUUCUGGAGAAGAUUUAUUAGACCUCAUCUUAUAUUUAUUUGUUUACAAAGGAAAUAGUAAAUAAAUUUUAUUUAAGAAAGGAUUCACUUCCUAAUUAGUAAAUAAAUUUUAUUUUAAAAAAGGAUUCAUGCUGCAAACCAGUGAAAUUGAUAAUAUUGAUGAUUGCGAUUUUUUCAGUAGUACUACAAAAGAGGGAGUAAUAGAGUAGUGCUCUUUAUAUUUCACAUACACUGAAAAUCCACUUGAUUAGUUACAAAUGAACAAAAAGAUGAAAUUGUAUCAGAAACAGACGGAAUUGGGUGGGUCAGAUUUGUGUAAGUACUUUUUGCGUUUAUUUUAGAAGUUGAAUGUUUUAACAAUGUUAAUUUAAUUGCUCUAAAAAGCUGUUCAUCUUAUUGGUGGUUCUGGCCUGAUACCGCGUUAAGGGAGUCAUUUCCGUUACAAGCUAAACCACCGGUCAAUUUAUUUAUUUUUCUCUUCCUCAAUUUCCUUUUUUCUGUUCUGAAAAGGAUAUAUGAGGCCUCAUCUUAUAUUUAUUUGUUUACAAAGGAAAUAGUAUAUAAAAUUUAUUUAAGAAAAGAUUCACUUCCUAAUUAGUAAAUAAAUUUUAUUUUAAAAAAGGAUUCAUGCUGCAAACCAGUGAAAUUGAUAAUAUUGAUGAUUGCGAUUUUUCCAAUAGUACUACUAAAGAGGGAG
rnacentral:lncRNA from 1 species